rnacentral:lncRNA from 1 species
CUGCCACCCAGCCUGCCAACCUGGACCUCUGCCUCUACUCUGUCUCAACCAGUUUGUGUUAGUGUUUUUCCUCGAAGGCAGGGAGGAGCUCUCAAGCGGAACAAAGCAUUUCCUCUGGGAGGCUAAUUGCUCAGUGACUCUUCUUUAAUAUGCAGAAACAUUGCUCUGGGCAGCUAGUCUGUGUUCCUGUGGCCACGUCUCUCAGAAAGAUAUCUCCUUGCCUUUUUUCCUUGUCUCCAGUUCUGCCUAUAGGUAUUUAAUUGAGUUAGAAAGUCACAGUCCACCUGCAAAGUUAGGACUACUUGCCACCUGUUAAAGGGCUGCUCAUUGUCCUUGGAUGUGCUCUUCCCAAGGUCUGAGCACAGGAACAACCUGAAUUUCCCAGGUUGUUGGGGGGACAGAGCAGAAUGUCCUAGAUGCCAAAGUUGCUUAUGUGGAGAUUCAUGCCUUGAGUUCUUCAUUCACUGUUUCCUGGAUGCCUACUUAAAACCCAAAAGGAAGGUUUGCUAUUUUUGCUGCUGCACAGGCAGGAGAGGGUGUGUGGGACUGGGAGUCAGGACUGUGUGUCCUCUCAGCACUGCAAGAGAGCUGCCACAGCUGCACCACCACUGCCAGAGCCACCACAUCAGCACCACCACCACCGGAGCUGCCUGGGACCAUGGCUGCUGCUUUCACCAGCUGCCACUAUGCCAGAACCCACACCAGCAUCUUGGCAGAAUAAAUACUUUUGGACAAAAUAGGCUUCCAGGUUUUGUUUUGCCCCUGUUCCCCAUUGUUUUUGUCUGCCCAGGGAAGGCGUUAAACUGGAGAAACUUGUUUACCGCAUUACUUUCAUUUUUUUCCCAGGCCAUGUGGUGCACAGCAAGGGAAUGGGUGCCAUUUUUGGUUUUGCCCUAGGGAUGGGGGGCCAGACAACAUUUUGCCUUUAUUGGUUUUGUGGGUUGACCAUUUUUCUCUGUACUGUUGUUAUUGGUAAUUUUACCUCAGUAAAAUUGUGACUAACAUUUUUAACUGGUUGCAGUCUUGUUUUCUUUGUUUUCCCCUUCCACUAUCAUACAGGGGUGGCUCGAACAGUCUUAACUUUUCCUCCCUGGCAUUUUAAAACCAGUACAGGGGUCCAAGAGAGCUGAUCAAUAUUCAAACACCAUUUCCUCCAAGGCUCAAGAAUGGGUCAUCCCAAUGAGGAAGAAAUUGGACAAAAGGGGCAAGAGACAUGCAUAGACAACCAAGGAACUCCUGUGAAUACUCAAAUACAAGCAGGAGAUAUAGAGGACCUGGAAGCAGGGACAGGCCACUUAAAAUCAAUAUAGGGAUGUUGUCAGAGCAUGUAGAAAUGAGACCAGGAAGACCAAUGCCCAACCGGAAUUAAAUCUGGCCAAGGAUGUCAAGAACAACAAGAAGGGCUUCUUCAAAUACAUC